AGUGGAAACUCUAAUGGAAAGCCCUGCUCCUAUAUUGUUAUGCACGGCCCUCAUGUAGAUACAUGGGGGAGGAUUAAGUUGGUUUAUAAAGGGCCUUUUGUGUGCAGUGUUAAUUUGCAGUACUCUUGACAGUUGAGGUUGAAGGGUUUACAACCUUUCUGUUUACUUAGAUGCAAUGUGUCCUAGCUUUGUUUAUUUCCCUCCGCAGCCCCUUAAGGCCUGGUAAAAGUUACAUUUAUCUUUAUUAAUGACGAUGGUGCCGCCAAACGUGGCAGCGGAGAAAAUAAAGACAGACACUUGUGGCAUCAUUAAUUGCCAGCUUUUGUUCUUUCCUUCUUCCUGGUCACCAUCAACGGUCCUAUAAGCAGUACUGUGACUCAAGUUUCCUUUCCAAAGAUUUUUUUUAUGUACUCUCUGGUAUUUUUUAUGUACUCAUAAAAAAAUACCAGAGAAAUCUAAUCAUUUAAAUCAAGCUACGUGCAUAUGUGAAAGGGUUGUCAGUUAUGCUGAUACCAUGUUAAAAGAAAAGAACUGCAAAUUAUUACCACAAACAUCUGUUGUCUCCAGUGGUAGCAAUUGCUCGUUAGUGCAAUCCUAUAUGCAUGUCCCUGGAUGUAAAUCCAACUGAGUUCAAUGAGACUUUCUCCCAGAAUAUCUGAAGAGGACAUCAUCUGUUGUCUGCUAUGCAGAGAACUUCACAACCUAAAUGACAAUCCAAUGUUUUCAAUCAUGUGGAGGGUCUCCAUGUAUAGAAGAGGCUCUUCGGAACAGCAGUCUCCAAGUGACAGCAUAGGGGCUCUUGCAGUUAUGAUAAUGGAAGAACUGCGAAGAAAAAAAAAGAGGAUGCUAUAACUUUGAUGUCUGGCCAUUCCUACAAUACUGGCUAUUGGGAUCCUGAUGGCAUAUGUCUCUAAGAAAUGUUUCUGCUUUUAUCUUACACUCUGCUGCUCCUGGAGGCAGCUUGUAAGCAUGAAGCAUUCCCCCCCCCUCCGCCUGCGGCUUGAGCCUCUGAGAGACAGCUAACUUCGUUGGCAAGAGCUCUGAUAUACUCAACAUCCACGGAACACAAGGAGCCUGGGCAGGGGUUGACAGGAAACAAAGGUGCAAAAUGUUGGAGAGAAUACAUACAGUCAGAACAACUGGAAAGGAUUUUGUUCCCCUCUUCCCUCAUAUGACAGUUAUUAAAAUAUCUAGGAGGCUUUUUUUCCUAUUGCAGGAAAUAAAAUAAACAGAAGAAGCCCAAUGUAUUUUCCAUUAGGGAGAAUUUCAUCAAGUCUGUGCAUACUGACAAAAAAUUGUAUUGUCCUAUUUCAUUUUCUUUGCUUAAAAUUGCCUCCUAUUUACAUGCCACAUUUUUGUUUGCUUGCUUUUUUGCCUUACAGAUUGUAUAAAGUCUGUUUUUCCUAUGGGAGAUAUAUGAGUCAUCUGUAGUUUUUUUCCCUGGAUGGUGUUGGGAUUACAGUGGAUGUGUUGCUGUGUAUGUAUGUCCGUCUCUCUGUGUGAACACACUCUGAAUGUUCUGUAUUGAUGCCAUACAUCAUACAUAUAUAUUAUCCCAACCAUUAGCAAACAGAAUUAUUGCUGCAAAAAUCUUAUACCUGGCAUUAUAAUCCUCUGUCAUCUGAUGGGAUAGGAGAAUUACAAAGACAUUUUCUGGAUAUAAAGGGAAGUCAAUCAUAUUUGUUAUCCAUCUAGGCUUUGCUGAAUAUUUGGCAAUUGGUCAAUAACCACCAAACAAAGGUGUUAAAUGUUCCUUAGAGAAAGAAUGCUGAUCCUCACAGGAGCACUGCAGUCAGUCAGUGGUGAACGCCAGAUUGUUAUUCAUGUGACUCAGGCAUUUCCGAAGCAUUCUUUACGCAUCUGGAUACUGACUGGCAGGUUUUCUGCUAUCAAUGCUAGGAAGUUUAACAAAGGAAACGCAUUGUAGGGUUGAUCUAAAGCACACUGUGAAGUCAACUGGAGUCAAUACCUUCAUCACCACCACGACUAC